rfam:Flavobacterium terrae strain DSM 18829 genome assembly, contig: Ga0131135_101
UUGUAACACAGCGUGAGGGAUUGAAGCGACAUCCUUUUUUAGAACAUUGAGGUUUUCGAAAUGUUCUAAAAAAGAUACAGCGAAAAGCCCGACCCAAA